rnacentral:lncRNA from 1 species
UUCUCUUUUUCCUUUUUUUUUCUUCCCUCACCAAUGCUGCCGCCUCCUCCUCCUCCUCCUCCUACUCCUCCUUCUUCUUCUUUUUCUUCACUUCUCCUUCCCCCUUUCUUCUCCUUCACUCACACACCAGCAAAAACAAAUUGGGGACCAUUAUAAGGUCCCCAAACACAUAAAAAAACAAAACAUGGUUGAAACAUCCCAUCAGUGUAGGG